rnacentral:lncRNA from 1 species
CAUUUCUCUUGGGCACUCUUCAUACAACAUGCUUAGUUGUAAUAAGGAGGGGGAGGAGGUGAAGGAUAUUGGUGGUAAACAUGUGGAGGUGGUGGGGAUUUGUAUUUGUAGCCAUGAGGUGGGGGUGGUGACUUGUAAUGGUAUGGAGGUGGUGACUUAUGGUGGUGAUAAUGAGGUGGAGGUGGUGAGUUAUACUUGUAAAUAGUUGGAGGAGGUGGUGAGUUGUAGUGGCAAGGAUGAGAUGGUGGUGGUGGUGACUUGUAAUGGUAGGGGUGAUGAUGAUGGUGGUGGUGAGGAGGUGGUGGUGACUUGUGGUGGUAAAGAGGUGGUGGUGGUGGUGAUUUGUGUAUGUAAGUAGGAGGUGGUGGAGGUGGUGAAUUGUAAUGGUAGGGGGGGAGUUGAUGGUAAGGUGGUGGUGGUGGUGAUUUAUACUUAUAAAGAGGAGGAGGUGGAGGUGGUGACUUGUAAUAGUAGGGUGGAAGUUGAUGUUGAGGAGGUGGUGGUGAUUUAUACUUAUAAAGAGGAGGAGGAGGUGGUGGUGGUGACUUAUAAUGGUAGGGUGGAAGUUGAUGGUAAGGAGGUGGUGGUGAUGACUCAUGGUAGUGAAGAGGAGGUGGUGGUGGUGAUUUAUACUUGUAAAUAGGAGGUGGAGGUGGUGACUUGUAAUGGUAGGGGGGGAAUUGAUGGUGAGAAGGGGGUGGAGGUGACUUGUAGUGGUAAAGUGGUGGAGGUGGUGACUUGUAGAGGUAAUGGUGAUGAGGGUGGUGGUGCUCCUUGGGUGGUACUAGUAAUGGUGGUGGGGAAGGAGAGUAGAGGUAGUUUCCUUGUACCUUGAGAGGUAAACUCAGAGAGAGAAACACUAGCAAGAGAGUGAGAAGUAGGGAGGCCAUGGCCUCCCCCUUUUCCCCUCCUCUCCCUCCCAACAUUCUCACUAGUUUUGUUGCCUUGGUGGGUUGCUCUUCUCCUUGGAUUCUUUGGGCUUCUUUAUAUAGCCACAUUUUUCACCCUUGGUGCUAGAGAGUUCC